GAGCGGAACUGCCGGUGUAAGGGUGAAAUCUGUGGAUAUCGGCAGGAACGCCAGCGGAGAAGUCGGCUCUCUGGUCCAUUCCUGACGCUCAGGGACGAAAGCUAGGGGAGCGAACAGGAUUAGAUACCCUGGUAGUCCUAGCUGUAAACGAUGGGCACUAGAUGCUCGUUCUUUUGAAUGGGUGUCGUAGUUAACGCGUUAAGUGCCCCACCUGGGGACUACGGCCGCAAGGCUAAAACUCAAAGGAAUUGACGGGGGCCUGCACAAGCGGUGGAACACGUGGUUUAAUUCGAUGCUACGCGAGGAACCUUACCAGGGCUUGACAUGCUGGAAGUAACCGCCCGAAAGGAUCGGUGAUCUGUAACCAGUCAGGAACCAGUGCAGGUGCUGCAUGGCUGUCGUCAGCUCGUGCCGUGAGGUGUUCCCUUAAGUGGGAAAACGAGCGCAACCCUCGUCCUUAGUUGCCACUUCUUUGCUUGCAAAGGAAGCACUCCAGGGAGACUGCCCGCGUUAAGUGGGAGGAAGGUGAGGAUGACGUCAAGUCCGCAUGGCCCUUAUGCCCUGGGCUACACACGUGUUACAAUGGCGCAUACAAUGGGAGGCAAUACCGUAAGGCGGAGCAAAUCCUACAAAAGUGUGCCUCAGUUCGGAUUGGGGGCUGCAAUUCGCCCUCAUGAAGCUGGAAU
rnacentral:rRNA from 1 species